UACGUAGGGUGCAAGCGUUGUCCGGAAUUAUUGGGCGUAAAGAGCUCGUAGGCGGUCUGUCGCGUCGGCUGUGAAAUCCCGGAGCUCAACUCCGGGUCUGCAGUCGAUACGGGCAAACUGGAGUACUGCAGGGGAGACUGGAAUUCCUGGUGUAGCGGUGAAAUGCGCAGAUAUCAGGAGGAACACCGGUGGUGCAGACGGCUCUCUGGACCGUAACUGACGCUGAGACACGAAAGCGUGGGUAGCAAACAGG
rnacentral:rRNA from 1 species